rnacentral:rRNA from 1 species
ACGAACGCUGGCGGCGUGCUUCACACAUGCAAGUCGAACGGAAAGGCCCUGCUUUUGUGGGGUGCUCGAGUGGCGAACGGGUGAGUAACACGUGAGUAACCUGCCCUUGACUUUGGGAUAACUUCAGGAAACUGGGGCUAAUACCGGAUAGGAGCUCCUGCUGCAUGGUGGGGGUUGGAAAGUUUCGGCGGUUGGGGAUGGACUCGCGGCUUAUCAGCUUGUUGGUGGGGUAGUGGCUUACCAAGGCUUUGACGGGUAGCCGGCCUGAGAGGGUGACCGGCCACAUUGGGACUGAGAUACGGCCCAGACUCCUACGGGAGGCAGCAGUGGGGAAUAUUGCACAAUGGGCGGAAGCCUGAUGCAGCAACGCCGCGUGCGGGAUGACGGCCUUCGGGUUGUAAACCGCUUUCGCCUGUGACGAAGCGUGAGUGGCGGUAAUGGGUAAAGAAGCACCGGCUAACUACGUG